UUAGCGGCGGACGGGUGAGUAACACGUGGAUAACCUACCUAUAAGACUGGGAUAACUUCGGGAAACCGGAGCUAAUACCGGAUAAUAUUUUGAACCGCAUGGUUCAAAAGUGAAAGACGGUCUUGCUGUCACUUAUAGAUGGAUCCGCGCUGCAUUAGCUAGUUGGUAAGGUAACGGCUUACCAAGGCAACGAUGCAUAGCCGACCUGAGAGGGUGAUCGGCCACACUGGAACUGAGACACGGUCCAGACUCCUACGGGAGGCAGCAGUAGGGAAUCUUCCGCAAUGGGCGAAAGCCUGACGGAGCAACGCCGCGUGAGUGAUGAAGGUCUUCGGAUCGUAAAACUCUGUU
rnacentral:rRNA from 1 species